GUCUACGGCCAUACCACCCUGAACGCAUCCGAUCUCAUCUACUUUCGGAAGCUAAGCAGAGUCAGGCCUGGUUAGUACUUGGUAUGGGAGUCCAAGGUGUGAAACA
rnacentral:rRNA from 1 species